GGAAAGGUCUUCAUUCAAGACAAGACCCUUCAUCCAAGUUGCAUGAAGACAAUAUUCAACCGUGCAUGGAUAACUCAUAGCACGGUGCAUACAAGAACAAGAGUUGCAAUGAAGACAAGAGCUUCAGUCUGGACAAAAUCAUCUGUCAAGACAAAGAUUCCAGUCAAGACAAAAGUUCCAGUCAAGACAAAAUUCGCGGUCAAGACAAAUAUUCCAAUCUGGACAAAAUUCUUAGUCUAGACAAAAAUAUCAGUCUAGCGUCGGAGUCACGCAAGGCUUGAUGUCGCAAACACUGAGGCACUUCAGCGGUGCAUAAGGCUUGUCAAGCUACGAGAUACCCCGGCCUCCAGCUAUGACGCAGAAGAAUAAAAGAGGGGAGCAUCCAGCAUCCCUCGCGCACUAUAAAAGGGGGAGGACUGAGCGCGGAGAGACACACACAACAGCAGUCUACACAACACCAGUCUCCAGAGCCUCGCAAGCACCAGAGCACCAUUUCUCUCACUCUCCUCAGUAGUAGUAGUAGCCAUCUCCUGUUGUAAUAAGCCUUUGAGGCAUUUGUAUCAUCCAGUGGUGGAGGUAGGCAGAAGGUAGUCUUCCUUUCUCUUUGUAAUCCCUUCGGGGUCUCCCGAAAGGGAAAUCCGUAUGUAAAUUAUGUUGUCGAAGUGAAGUAGUUUCGGGUUUCACUUGGUUUUUAUAUUAUGAAUUUACGAAAUGAGUUCUUACGCUAGGGAUCCUAUAGGAGAAACCUCUGUCGGUAGUUCUCUGUUUAGCCGAUGUGUGGCGUUUGAAUGAGAACCUUGUGGCCGUAGAGAAGUGUUCCCUUCGGGUGGAACUGCCUGGGAAGACGGUAGGAAUUCAUCAAAUAAAUUUGUAAUAUAAACAUCAAGUGAAAGAACUUAGCUGCUUCUGAAGCAACAUAGUGAUGAAUACGGAGAGUACCGAGUAGGAUUAACACAACUGUUGCAUACCCGUAGGCUAUCUCGUUGGUUUCGCCAAUCCGUAAAAGAUCCUGCAUAUUGAUUAAGAAUUAGUUAAUUAAAUAAUUUCACAAAAUUUAGAUUACGUAAGAAGUUAAUAAGUACUUUAUAUUUUAUUUGAUAAUAUAUUUGUGUGUUGGAAAAUAAUAAUAAUAAUAAUAAUAAUAAUAAUAAUAAUAAUAAUAAUAAUAAUAAUAAUAAUAAUAAUAAUAACAACAAUAAUAAUGGUAGCAAGAAUAAUUAUGCAAGAAGCAGCCAUGCAACAUCCGUAUCAGGAAAGGUCUUCAUUCAAGACAAGACCCUUCAUCCAAGUUGCAUGAAGACAAUAUUCAACCGUGCAUGGAUAACUCAUAGCACGAUGCAUACAAGAACAAGAGUUGCAAUGAAGACAAGAGCUUCAGUCUGGACAAAAUCAUCUGUCAAGACAAAGAUUCCAGUCAAGACAAAAGUUCCAGUCUAGACAAAAUUCGCGGUCAAGACAAAUAUUCCAGUCUGGACAAAAUUCUCAGUCUAGACAAAGUUCUCAGUCUAGACAAAAAUAUCAGUCUAGCAUCGGAGUCACGCAAGGCUUGAUGUCGCAAACACUGAGGCACUUCAACGGUGCAUAAGGCGUGUCAAGCUACGAGAUACCCCGACCUCCAGCUAUGACGCAGAAGAAUAAAAGAGGGGAGCAUCCAGCAUCCCUCGCGCACUAUAAAAGGAGGAGGACUGAGCGCGGAGAGACACACACAACAACAGUCUACACAACACCAGUCUCCAGAGCAUCGCAAGCACCAGAUCACCACUUCCCUCACUCUCCUCAGUAGUAGUAGUUGGUAGUAGCCAUCUCCAGUUUUUAAUAAGCCUUUGAGGCAUUGUAUCAUCCAGUGGUGGAGGUAGGCAGAAGGUAGUCCUCCUUUUCUCUUUGUAAUCCCUUCGGGGUCUCCCGAAAGGGAAAUCCAUAUGUAAAUUAUGUUGUCAAAAUGAAGUAGUUUCUGGUUUUACUUGGUUUUUAUAUUAUGAAUUUAUGAAACGAGUUCUUACGCUAGGGAUCCUAUAGGAGAAACCUCUGCCGGUAGUUCUCUAUUUAGCCGAUGUGUGGCGUUUGAAUGAGAACCUUGUGGCCGUAGAGAAGUGUUCCCUUCGGGUGGAACUGCCUGGGAAGACGGUAGGAAUUCAUCAAAUAAAUUUGUAAUAUAAACAUCAAGUGAAAGAACUUAGCUGCUUCUAAAGCAACAUAGUGAUGAAUACGGAGAGUACCGAGUAGGAUUAACACAACUGCUGCAUACCCAUAGGCUGUCUCGUUGGUUUCGCUAACCCGUAAAAGAUCCUGCAUAAUAAUUAAGAAUUAGUUAAUUAAAUAAUUUCACAAAAUUUAAAUUACGUAAGAAGUUAAUAAGUACUUUAUAUUUUAAUUGAUAAUAUAUUUAUGUAUUGGUAUCUCAGCCAGAGUUUUAAUCAUUGAAAGACUAAAGUAUUUGAAUUUAGAAAUUAGUAUAGGUAGACUGAUCUCUACCAAAGAAAAUAUUAGCAUACGGUGCAGAAUAAAUCCUUCCGAAGAACAUACGUGGCAUACUAUGCAUAGCCAACUAAAUUUAAUUGUCGACCUCAUUCAUAACUUUUAUAUAACUUGGGGAAAAAGGCAAGAUAAUUUAGACCAAAAAUCUGAAAGUCUGUUAAAAGAACACAAUAAGUUAAUAGAAAAAUAUGCAGACUCGAAUAAUAAAAUCGAUCUAGUUCUACAGAAAUCAGAAGAAUCGAAAGGUAGAAACCUUAUAAUUUGUAAGAACAACGACUAUAUUAAAGAAGAAGUUUUAUCCAUUGGUAAGAAUCUAAGUGGUGUCGUAAAUAAGAAUAAAGAUUCAUUAUCAGGUGCUGAAACAAGAUGCGAUAUACUUGAAGUUAAAAGGUUAAUACAAGAAGUAAAGACUCUAGUCGUAUCAUAACUUGAAUGAGUGAAUAUUGCCAAGCAUUAAAAGAAGUAGAAAAAUACUUAACACCUUCUGUCGGAUUUUCAGAUCACGAUUCGCCAAAAGAAGAUUCCAGAAUAAUUAUAAGGCAGAAUAACACAAUUCUACAACUACUAGCCCAGAUUUUGGAAAAGCUAAAUACUAAACGAGGUAACAACGAGUUGAUAUUAUCUUCAUCCGGAAUAGUCUCAUCCUCUAAAAAUAUUAAUUCUGAAAAAUGGAACUAUCUAAAAGCCUCUAGAAGAGACAAGACCAUCCAGUUAAUAAGGCAAGAUUCUAGGCCGCUAACCAUGAUGAAUAGGAUAUCAUGCAGAAGUGACGACAUAGAUAAUUUAGAAGAGGUUAUAUACAUGGAUCGCGUAUUAGAAAGAUAUCAGAGAGACACGUUAAGAAAAAUAAGAUCGCAACAGGUAUAUCACAUGGGCAUAUUUGAAAGUGAAAGCGGAUUAUACAGAAUAUCUAGAGAAGUAGAAUUAAGUGUGUUAACGCAUCCGGUGGAUUUAAGAAUUGUUAGCAAAAAUAUUGAGAAUGAACUUAAAUAUUCAGGUUACAAAUAUAUUCACCAAGGGAUGUAUAUUAUAGGAGUAAAAGGAAUGACAAGAAAGAAAUUAGGAACGAAGGUAUUAAUUACAUUACUUGAUAAAAGAUGGGAGUCGGUAGACAAAGCAUCAUUAGGAUUCAUGGAAGGAGAUAUGAAUGAAAAUAGAUUAAUAACAUAUAUAGCUCCAGACUUAAUGAUGCCUGUAAAAUAAUUUAUUGAGAAAAUGAGCUUUGUGUUUCAAACCAAAGGAUAUGAAGAUUUUAAAGGAACAAAUUUGUUAGUAAGCAUUGAAUUCAUAGGAAGACUCACGAAUAAAAGCAGCUCUAGAUACAAAGUAAACGUAAAUGACGUAAUAGAGAGCAUGCAAUCUAAAGGCAUAAAAUUUAUGAGCCCUCUAAAAAUUGGUUCUGAAGAGAGAGCAGGAGAGGAAUGGAAUAUAAGCGAAUUAAUAGAAGAGAAAGAGUUGAAGCAGCCAGAAAAUUAUAUAAGCUACCAAAAUAGCGAAGGAAGUAGUAGCAUUAGAUUCUUGAACUAUAAAUCCGCAGCCGUAGACGAAAUAGAACCUCUUUUGUCAGAAGCAGAGAGUAGUGAUAGUAGGAAUAAAGGAGUAAAAGAAUUCAUGGAAAAGGCAGACUUAGAAGAUGAAUUAAAACAUUGGGAAGAAAAAUUAAAACGCAUAAACUGGGAAUAUAAUAAUUCAAUGACAUCAGAUUGGCCUAAAAUUAGAGAAAGAGAAUUAUUCUUUAUUAGAGAAAUUUCGAGAAUAAAAAGAUUAAUAAAGGAUAAAAAACCAGUCAUUAGUAACCCAGUGGUGCCAAAGAAUAAUAUUAAUCGCGAAGAAAAUACCGAUAUUAAGAAUAAAGCCGAAAGUCAUAAAGAGAAAGCCAUAAGUGAAGAAGAUCAAUGGGAUAUCAACAAUAAGAUAUUAUUAAAAAGUUAUGAAAAAGAAGAAGAACCAUGGGAUCAAUAUGAAGAUCAAAAUUAUAUUGAUUCCGAGCAAAAUAAUGAUUUUAUAAACUCGUUAGAUGACGAAAGUCUGCAUAAUUUAGAAAAUGCGAUGGAAGCCAUGGAAGUAGAUUUAGAUGGUCAUAAAAGAAGAAGAGGUUAUGGCGAAUCAUCUGUAAAGAGAGAAGGAGAAAGAGAGAGACCUACUCGAUCUGCUGGAAAGUGGCCUCCUGAAAAAGAUGAUUAUGAACCUACAUAUAUCCCUGGACAAUAUACAUUUAUGGGUUCUAAAAGAAGAGGUUUUGAAAAGGUAGUGCAGUUCCAAAACUCUAGGAAUGAUGGUGCAAUUCUGAAUUUAGCAGCCCAUGACCCUGUAGAUUGGCCGAAUAUAAUUAGUGUGUGGGAAGGAUUAAUAGUCCAAAAAUAUAUACAAAAUCAAUAUAAUAUAGGGAAUAAGGUGGAAGAUAUGAUAACAUAUCUUGAAACAUUUUUGGGAGAAUCAGUAAAAAUAUUAUGGGAACAAUGGGUAGAGACAUAUCCAGACCAAUACGAAGAACUAAAAAGAGCUGGGAGUAAUCCUAAUAACUUUGCCAAUGUCAUAUCAAAUAUGGUCAUAGCAGAAGAUCCAAAAUUGGGUCAUACCACAUUGCAAAAUGAAAGGUUGAGAGAAAUAGAAAAAUUAACUUCAACAAGUUGGAAAGGUAUAAAGGAAUUUUCUCAACAUUAUUUAUACAAUGCUACCACAGCUAAGCAAGACUACAAUAAAGGUGUGGUUGAAAGGCAUUUUAAUAAGUUACCAGAUCCAUUAGGAUCAAUAAUAUUUGAAGAAUAUAAGAAAGAUACUGGGGGCAUAGACAUAAAUAUAUCUCAAGCUAUAACGUUCGUGUUUAAACAUCUUAGAAAGGUAUGUACAAGUAUACAGGCCCAGAGGUCUAUGAAGAAAUCCGAUUAUAGUUUUUGCAAUUAAAUCGUCCAAAUACCACUAACAUAUGGCAAAGAAAGACACAAGAGUAAGAAAUAUUAUAAACCACAAAGAGAUAAUAGAAAUUUUAGAACAAGGAAAAGAUAUUUCUUACGAAGAUCGGAUAAUAGAGCCCCAUUCUUGCAUAAAAGAAAUGUUAGAAGAGACAAUCCUAGAAAAUCAUAUGAUAAAACAUGUAGAUGUUUCAUAUGCAAUUCACCUGAUCAUUUAAGUAAAACUUGCCCUAAUAAAGAUCAGAAAAGGUACUCUAGUAAAUAUGAAGAACAAGAGAGAGUAUUAAUUAUAGAUAGUGUUAAUGAGAAUAUAGUAGUAUGUGAUGAUGAAAUAAAAGAUGACGAGUCAAUAUACUCCAUUAUAGAAACAGAUGAAAUAGAAAAUGAAGAGCUAGAAGAAGAAUCUAGCGAAGAUGAAAUCGAUUUAAUAGAUGAUCUAUCAGGAUUAAAAGUAGAGAUGAUGAACCAGGUAGAUUGUGAACAUGAUUGGAUUAGGGGAAAAGGUGAUUAUAAUAUAAAUGUGCCUUUUGCAUAUAUUACCCCAGCCAAGAGAAUAGGUAUACAUGUAGUUUAUGCUUAAGACAAGCUUGUAACUCAUGCCUAAAAUCUACGAAUCAAAGGUGGAGACAAGAAAUAGAAUAUGAACCUGAAGAUAGAAUAUUAUCUAGCAGAGUUAGAAAUCUAUAAAAUAGACUAAAUAAGUUAGAGGCGGAACUAGAAGAUCUAAAAUCUAACUUAAAAAACAAAGCAAAUACAGAAGAAGAGAACAUUAUAGUUGAAGGCACUGAAAUGAAAGAGCAAAUGAUAACAGUAAGAGAUAAAAAUGGAGAUAUAUUAAUUCAAUUAAGAGAUGCCAUAACCAACUUUGGAAAUAAAUAUAUAGUGAGGUUGCCAUUUAAAGAAGUUCUAGGAAUAAGGAUUCCGGUUAGAAUAGUAUUAAAACCAAAUAUUUCCUAUAAGAUUUUAGCCUUAUUAGAUACAGGGUGCACAAAAAAUAUCAUUCAUGGCAAGUACUUCGUUAAGUGUCCUGAAAUAGUAAAAACUAUAGAUGAUAAUAAAGCCGAGGUAUCUAUAGAUAUGUCGGGUAUAAAGAAAAUCCACAACCAGUUAGCAUAUAACAUAGAAACAUAUAUUAACGGUACAAAAUAUAUAAUAGACAAAAUCACAAUUAGAGAUUUAUCAGUAAUAAAUGAUGACAUGAUAUUAGGAUUAAGAUUUUUACAACAUUCUCUCCAAACCACUAUUAUACAUGAAGAAGGUGUUACAUUUGUCCCGUACCAAGAUAAUGUCCCAUACAUAUCUGAAGUGCAAAAACAAAGAAAGGAUGUACAACUAGCUGAAAUAUCCAACGCGAAAGAUGAAUAUGAUACUACAGCAGAAUCCCCUAAAACCUGCAAUGAAGAAGAUCUUAGUGAAGCUAUAAAAGAAUAUCAUAUAGAAAAUACUUCCACAGAGUGCAUAGGACUACAAUCAUUUGCACCAAAUUGGUAUAGAGAUAUAAAGUCCAAAAAGGAUAUAGACAAGAUUGUGCAAAGGUUAGAAGAUAUACAAAUUAUAGGAGAAAUACCAAUGAAACAUUGGGACAAGAACUCCAUAAUUUGUAAGAUAAACAUCAUAAACCCAGAUUAUAUAAUCAAAUCAGGCCCAAUAGAAGCUACACCAAAAGAUAUAGAGGAAUUUAAGAUGCAUAUUAAAGAAUUGUUAAAAUUAAGAGCAAUCAGAGAGAGCAAAAGUCCUCACCGUUCAGCUGCAUUUAUAGUUAGAAAUCAUGCUGAAGAAGCUAGGGGUAAGUCUAGGAUGGUAAUUUUAAAAGACUUAAUGAUAAUACGGUAGAUGAUGCCUACAAUAUACCUAAUAAACAAGAAUGGAUAAAUAGAAUCCAAGGGAGCAAAUAUUUUUCAAAGUUUGACUUAAAAGUAGGAUUCUGGCAAGUAAAGAUGGCAGAGGAAUCUAUUCCUUGGACAACUUUCACUUGUCCACUAGGCCAUUAUGAAUGGCUAGUAAUGCCAUUGGGUCUAAAGAAUGCACCUGCAUUAUUUCAAAGAAAAAUGCAGAACAUAUUCAAUGAGAAUCAAGCAUUCAUAUUGGUAUACGUAGAUGAUUUGUUGGUUAUGGGUCUACCCCGCCCAUAUUAUUGAUAACACCUUAUCAAUAUUUUGAGUUCUUUUAAUAUUCGGGUAUAGGUCCCCCACGCCCGAAUAAUUGAUAUUCAUAUCAAUUCAUAUUCGAGUAUAUUUGAUUAUUGUUUUCCCUCUUUAUUCAAUUGGUUGCCCGUGCCCGGCAAUGUCCAUAUGGUCUGUCUCAGAAAUGGUGAAAUCGUAUUUUUGAUCAUAUUCUUUCUUUAGCUCUUCAAAAUUUUCGUUCAUUUCUGAUCGUAAUUCUUUUAAAAUUUCUUCCUUCAAUUCUGCCUUCAUUGUCUUUGCAACUUCUUUAAGUUUUUCAUCUAUCUUCAAUUCUAUGUACUCUCCGUCCAAAGGAUCAACUCCUUUGAUAAGGCAUUCUUUGUAUGUCUCAUAUUUAGGGGAUUCUUCUUCUUUAGCCUUCUGGGAGCUUGAUGCUUCUCCCUUUGUAUAUUUAGAAAGUGAUAGAGUGGUUAUAUUGCUACUUAUGCCUCUUCGUCUUUUGAUAUAUUCUUUGGCUUUUGGGUCUAUAUAAUAAUCUUGCCCAAUUAGGUCUCUUGCCCAUUUUAGGGCCUCAUUGUAAUCAUCAUAUUUUUUUCAUGUUAAGUCUUCUUUCUUCCGUCUUGCCUCAAAUUUCUCUUUUACAAUAUCUUCAUAGCUCAUAUAUAUUCCUGGCUUAUUUCCAUCAAAUAUUAUAUAUAGAGUCUUUCCUUUUUGCAUCUCCUUUGGUGGCCCUUUGGGGGUGACUUGAUUUAAUUCAUUAAAGUAUUCAGCUAGGCUAUUAAGGAUUGCUAGCAUGUAACCUUGGUCUUCUCUUUUAUUGGUGUAUUGAAACCAGAAAUUGUCCAGUAUGCACCUCUGGGUGUCAUUAAUUUUGAUAUGACUUUUAGGCUUGAAGUUGAAAGUGCCUAGUGCAAAUACUUUGAGCUUAUUCGUUUCUCCAAAUAUGUAUGCUUCAUGUCCUCCAGGAAGUGAUCCUUUCUUCAUUGCUGUAAAAUUGAGGAGCGAGAGAAUAUGUCAGGCAAACUAUUAUCUUUACCUUUGAUAUGUUCAAGUAUUACUUUAUAUCCAUUCCCUGCUAUAGUAUCUUCGAAUAAUACCCAUCUUCUAGUUGAACUUUUCUUGCUAUUAAUCUGAUUAUAAUAUCUACAUAUUGCUUCACAGUCUGUUCGUACUGUGAAUUCCUUAAAUCCUAAAUAUAAUCUAAAAGCAUUAAUUGCGUGAACUACCGCAAGAAUUUCUCUAUCAUAUUAUUUACUGUCUUUAAUUUGUAACUUCCUGAAGCAUAUCUACAUAUUUUCUCCUCAGUUUUGGGAGAAUAUUUGUUGGGUUUUUUGCUUUAAUAUAGCUCCCCAACCUACUUUAGAGGCAUCGGUUUCAAUUAUAAAGUAAUAGUCUUCUAAUGGUAAUUCUAAAGGUUUCAAAUUCUUGACCUUGUCUUUAAUGGUCCUUACUAGUUUUAUAUCUUUUGAGUUAAAAUAUCUUUGACCGUUCUUUCUUAAUUUAGCAUAUAAAGGUCCAGCAAGCUUUGCUAGGUUAUCUAUAUAAUUCCUUGCAUAAUUUACAAUUCCUAAGAAUUGUUGCAAUAUCUUUUUAUCACUCAUGUUAUCAGGGAAUUGCAAAAUUUUCUUUGCAAUAUGUUCUUGUAAAUAUAUUUUUCCUUCUCCUAUUUCAUGACCAAGGAAAUUUAUUUUCUCUCUACAAAUUUCCAUUUUCUUUUUAGAUAGUAUGAGUCCAUUUUGUUCUACCUUUCUAAAGAAGACUUCAAGAUGAGCUAUAUGCUCUUUAUAUGAUUUUGAGAAGACCAACAAAUCAUCUACGUAUACCAAUAUGAAUGCUUGAUUCUCAUUGAAUAUGUUCUGCAUUUUUCUUUGAAGUAAUGCAGGUGCAUUCUUUAGACCCAAUGUCAUUACUAGCCAUUCAUAAUGGCCUAGUGGACAAGUGAAAGCUGUCCAAGGAAUAGAUUCCUCUGCCAUCUUUACUUGCCAGAAUCCUGCUUUUAAGUCAAACUUUGAAAAAUAUUUGCUCCCUUGGAUUCUAUUUAUCCAUUCUUGUUUAUUAGGUAUAUUGUAGGCAUCAUCUACCGUAUUAUCAUUAAGUCUUUUAAAAUUAAUUACCAUCCUAGACUUACCCCUAGCUUCUUCAGCAUGAUUUCUAACUAUAAAUGCAGCUGAACGGUGAGGACUUUUGCUCUCUCUGAUUGCUCUUAAUUUUAACAAUUCUUCAAUAUGCAUCUUAAAUUCCUCUAUAUCUUUUGGUGUAGCUUCUAUUGGGCCUGAUUUGAUUAUAUAAUCUGGGUUUAUGAUGUUUAUCUUACAAAUUAUGGAGUCCUUGUCCCAAUGUUUCAUUGGUAUUUCUCCUAUAAUUCGUAUAUCUUCUAACCUUUGCACAAUCUUGUCUAUAUCCUUUUUGGACUUUAUAUCUCUAUACCAAUUUGGUGCAAAUGAUUGUAGUCCUAUGCACUCUGUGGAAGUAUUUUCUAUAUGAUAUUCUUUUAUAGCUUCACUAAGAUCUUCUUCAUUGCAGGUUUUAGGGGAUUCUGCUGUAGUAUCAUAUUCAUCUUUCGCGUUGGAUAUUUCAGCUAGUUGUACAGCCUUUCUUUGUUUUCGCACUUCAGAUAUGUAUGGGACAUUAUCUUGAUACGGGACAAAUGUAACACCUUCUUCAUGUAUAAUAGUGGUUUGGAGAGAAUGUUGUAAAAAUCUUAAUCCUAAUAUCAUGUCAUCAUUUAUUACUGAUAAAUCUCUAAUUGUGAUUUCGUCUAUUAUAUAUUUUGUACCGUUAAUAUAUGUUUCUAUGUUAUAUGCUAACUGGUUGUGGAUUUUCUUUAUACCCGACAUAUCUGUAGAUACCUCAGCUUUAUUAUCACCUAUAGUUUUUACUAUUUCAGGACACUUAACGAAGUACUUGUCAUGAAUGAUAUUUUUUGUGCACCUUGUAUCUAAUAAGGCUAAAAUCUUAUAGGAAAUAUUUGGUUUUAAUACUAUUCUAACCGGAAUCCUUAUUCCUAGAACUUCUUUAAAUGGCAACCUCACUAUAUAUUUAUUUCCAAAGUUGGUUAUGGCAUCUCUUAAUUGAAUUAAUCUAUCUCCAUUUUUAUCUCUUACUGUUAUCAUUUGCUCUUUCAUUUCAGUGCCUUCAACUAUAAUGUUCUCUUCUUCUGUAUUUGCUUUGUUUUCUAAGUUAGAUUUUAGAUCUUCUAGUUCUGCCUCUAACUUAUUUAGUCUAUUUUCUCGAUUUCUAACUCUGCUAGAUAAUAUUCUAUCUUCAGGUUCAUAUUAUAUUUCUUGUCUCCACCUUUGAUUCGUAGAUUUUAGGCAUGAGUUACAAGCUUGUCUUAAGCAUAAACUACAUGUAUACCUAUUCUCUUGGCUGGGGUAAUAUAUGCAAAAGGCACAUUUUAUAUUAUAAUCACCUUUUCCCCUAAUCCAAUCAUGUUCACUAUCUACCUGGUUCAUCAUCUCUACUUUUAAUCCUGAUAGAUCAUCUAUUAAAUCGAUUUCAUCUUCACUAGAUUCUUCUUCUAGCUCUUCAUUUUCUAUUUCAUCUGUUUCUAUAAUGGAGUAUAUUGACUCGUCAUCUUUUAUUUCAUCAUCACAUACUAGUAUAUUCUCAUUAACACUAUCUAUAAUUAAUACUCUCUCUUGCUCUUCAUAUUUACAAGAGUACCUUUUCUGAUCUUUAUCAGGGCAAGUUUUACUUAAAUGAUCAGGUGAAUUGCAUAUGAAACAUCUACAUGUUUUAUCAUAUGAUUUUCUAGGAUUAUAUCUUCUAACAUUUCUUUUAUGCAAGAAUGGGGCUCUAUUAUCCGAUCUUCGUAAGAAAUAUCUUUUCCUUGUUCUAAAAUUUCUAUCAUCUCUUUGUGGUUUAUAAUAUUUCUUACUCUUCUGUCUUUCUUCGCCAUAUGUUAGUGGUAUUUGGACGAUUUUAUUGCAGAAACUAUAAUCGGAUUUCUUCAUAGACCUAUGGGCCUGUAUACUUGUACAUACCUUUCUAAGAUGUUUAAACACGAACGUUAUAGCUUGAGAUAUAUUUAUGUCUAUGCCCGCAAUAUAUUUCUUAUAUUCUUCAAAUACUAAUGAUCCUAAUGGAUCUGGUAACUUAUUAAAAUACCUUUCAACCACACCUUUAUUGUAGCCUUGCUUAGCUGUGGUAGCAUUGUAUAAAUAAUGUUGAGAAAAUUCCUUUAUACCUUUCCAACUUGUUAAAGUUAAUUUUUCUAUUUCUCUCAACCUUUCAUUUUGCAAUGUGGUAUGACCCAAUUCUGGAUCUUCUGCUAUGACCAUAUUUGAUAUGACAUUGGCAAAGUUAUUAGGAUUACUCCCAGCUCUUUUUAGUUCUUCGUAUUGGUCUGGAUAUGUCUCUACCCAUUGUUCCCAUAAUAUUUUUACUGAUUCUCCCAAAAAUGUUUCAAGAUAUGUUAUCAUAUCUUCCACCUUAUUCCCUAUAUUAGAUUGAUUUUGUAUAUAUUUUUGGACUAUUAAUCCUUUCCACACAAUAAUUAUAUUCGGCCAAUCUACAGGGUCAUGGGCUGCUAAAUUCAGAAUUGCACCAUCAUUCCUAGAGUUUUGGAACUGCACUACCUUUUCAAAACCUCUUCUUUUAGAACCCAUAAAUGUAUAUUGUCCAGGAUAUAUGUAGGUUGAUAAUCAUUUUUUUCAGGAGGCCAUUUUCCAGCAGAUCGAGUAGGUCUCUCUCUUUCUCCUUCUCUCUUUACAGAUGACUCACUAUAACCUCUUCUUCUUUUAUGACCACCUAAAUCUACUUCCAUGGCUUCCAUCGCAUUUUCUAAAUUAUGCAGACUUUUGUCAUCUAAUGAGUUUAUAAAAUCAGCAUUUUGCUCGGAAUCAAUAUAAUUUUGAUCUUCAUAUUGAUCCCAUGGUUCUUCUUCUUCUUCAUAACUUUCCAAUAAUAGCUUAUUAUUGAUAUCCCAUUGAUCUUCUUCACUUAUGGCUUUCUCCUUAUGACUUUCGGCUUUAUUCUUAAUAUCGGUAUUUUCUUCGCGUUUAAUAUUAUUCUUUGGCACCACUGGGUUACUAAUGACUGGUUUUUUAUCCUUUAUUAAUCUUUUUAUUCUCGAAAUUUCUCUAAUAAAGAAUAAUUCUCUUUCUCUUAUUUUAGGCCAAUCUGAUGUCAUGGAAUUAUUAUAUUCCCAGUUUAUGCGUUUUAAUUUUUCUUCCCAAUGUUUUAAUUCAUCUUCUAAGUCUGCCUUUUCCAUGCAUUCUUUUACUCCUUUAUUCCUACUAUCACUACUCUCUACUUCUGACAAAAGAGGUACUAUUUCAUCUACAGCUGCGGAUUUAUAGUUCAAGAAUCUAAUGCUACUACUUCCUUCGCUAUUUUGGUAGCUUAUAUAAUUUUCUGGCUGCUUCAACUCUUUCUUUUCUAUUAAUUCGCUUAUAUUCCAUUCCUCUCCUGCUCUCUCUUCAGAACCAAUUUUAAGAGGGCUCAUAAAUUUUAUGCCUUUAGAUUGCAUGCUCUCUAUUACGUCAUUUACGUUUACUUUGCAUCUAGAGCUUCUUUUAUUCGCGAGUCUUCCUAUGAAUUCAAUGCUUACUAACAAAUUUCUUCCUUUAAAAUCUUCAUAUCCUUUGGUUUGAAACCCAAAGCUCAUUUUCUCAAUAAAUUCUUUUACAGGCAUCAUUAAGUCUGGAGCUAUAUAUGUUAUUAAUCUAUUUUCAUUCAUAUCUCCUUCCAUAAAGCCUAAUGAUGCUUUGUCUACCGACUCCCAUCAUUUAUCAAGUAAUGUAAUUAAUACCUUCGUUCCUAAUUUCUUUCUUGUCAUUCCUUUUACUCCUAUAAUAUACAUCCCUUGGUGAAUAUAUUUGUAACCUGAAUAUUUAAGUUCAUUCUCAAUAUUUUUGCUAACAAUUCUUAAAUCCACCGGAUGCGUUAACACACUUAAUUCUACUUCUCUAGAUAUUCUGCAUAAUCCGCUUUUACUUUCAAAUAUUCCCAUGUGAUAUACCUGUUGCGGUCUUAUUUUUCUUAACGUGUCUCUGAUAUCUUUCUAAUUCAUGAUCCAUGUCUAUAACCUCUUCCAAAUUAUCUAUGUCGUCACUUCUGCAUGAUAUCCUAUUCAUCAUGGUUAGCGGCCUAGAAUCUUGCCUUAUUAACUGGAUGGUCUUGUCUCUUCUAGAGGCUUUUAGAUAGUUCCAUUUUUUAGAAUUAAUAUUUUUAGAGGAUGAGACUAUUCUGGAUGAAGAUAAUAUCAACUCGUUAUUACCUCAUUUAGUAUUUAGCUUUUCCAAAAUCUGGACUAGUAGUUGUAGAAUUGUGUUAUUCUGCCUUAUAAUUAUUCUGGAAUCUUCUUUUGGCGAAUCGUGAUCCGAAAAUCCGACAGAAGGUGUUAAGUAUUUUUCUACUUCUUUUAAUGCUUGGCAAUAUUCACUCAUUCAACUUAUGAUACGACUAGAUUCUUUACUUCUUGUAUUAACCUUUUAACUUCAAGUAUAUCGCGUCUUGUUUUAGCACCUGAUAAUGAAUCUUUAUUCUUAUUUACGACACAACUUAGAUUCUUACCAAUGGAUAAAACUUCUUCUUUAAUAUAGUCGUUGUUCUUACAAAUUAUAAGGUUUCUACCUUUCGAUUCUUCUAAUUUCUGUAGAACUAGAUCGAUUUUAUUAUUCAAGCCUGCGUAUUUUUCUACUAACUUAGUGUGUUCUUUUAACAGACUUUCAAAUUUUUGGUCUAAAUUAUCUUGCCUUUUCCCCAAGUUAUAUAAAGGUUAUGAAUGAGGUCGACAAUUAAAUUUAGUUGGCUAUGCCUAGUAUGCCACGUAUGUUCUUCGGAAGGAUUUAUUCUGCACCGUAUGCUAAUAUUUUCUUUGGUAGCGAUUAGUCUACCUGUACUAGUUUCUAAAUUCAAAUACUUUAGUCUUUCAAUGAUUAAAAAUCUGGCUGAGAUACCAACACACAAAUAUAUUAUCAAUUAAAAUAUAAAGUACUUAUUAACUUCCUAUGUAAUUUAAAUUUUGUGAAAUUAUUUAAUUAACUAAUUCUUAAUUAAUAUGCAUGAUCUUUUACGGGUUGGCGAAACCAACGAGACAGCCUAUGGGUAUGCAGCAGUUGUGUUAAUCCUACUCGGUACUCUCCGUAUUCAUCGCUAUGUUGCUUCAGAAGCAGCUAAGUUCUUUCACUUGAUGUUUAUAUUACAAAUUUAUUUGAUGAAUUCCUACCAUCUUCCCAGGCAGUUCCACCCGAAGGGAGCACUUCUCUACGGCCACAAGGUUCGCAUUCAAACGCCACACAUCGGCUAAAUAGAGAACUACCGGCAGAUGUUUCUCCUAUAGGAUCCCUAGCGUAAGAACUCAUUUCAUAAAUUCAUAAUAUAAAAACCAAGUAAAACCCGAAACUACUUCAUUUCGACAACAUAAUUUACAUACGAAUUUCCCUUUUGGGAGACCCCGAAGGGAUUACAAAGAGAAAAAGAGGACUACCUUCUGCCUAUCUCCACCACUGGAUGAUACAAUGCCUCAAAGGCUUAUUACAAACUGGAGAUGGCUACUACCAACUACUACUACUGAGGAGAGUGAGGGAAGUGGUGAUCUGGUGCUUGCGAUGCUCUGGAGACUGGUGUUGUGUAGACUGUUGUUGUGUGUGUCUCUCCGCGCUCAGUCCUCCUCCUUUUAUAGUGCGCGAGGGAUGCUGGAUGCUCCCCUCUUUUAUUCUUCUGCGUCAUAGCUGGAGGCCGGGGUAUCUCGUAGCUUGACACGCCUUAUGCACCGUUGAAGUGCCUCAGUGUUUGCGACAUCAAGCCUUGCGUGACUCCGAUGCUAGACUGAUAUUUUUGUCUAGACUGAGAACUUUGUCUAGACUGAGAAUUUUGUCAAGACUGGAAUAUUUGUCUUGACCGCGAAUUUUGUCUUGACUGGAACUUUUGUCUUGACUGGAAUCUUUGUCUUGACAGAUGAUUUUGUCCAGACUGAAGCUCUUGUCUUCAUUGCAACUCUUGUUCUUGUAUGCACCGUGCUAUGAGUUAUCCAUGCACGGUUGAAUAUUGUCUUCAUGCAACUUGGAUGAACGGUCUUGUCUUGAAUGAAGACCUUUCCUGAUACGGAUGUUGCAUGGCUGCAUCUUGCAUAAUUAUUCUUGCUACCAUUAUUAUUGUUAUUAUUAUUAUUAUUUUAUAUUAUUUUUUUACAAAAAUAUAUUAAAUUAAAAUAUAAAGUACUUAUUAACUUCUUACGUAAUUUAAAUUUUGUGAAAUUAUUUAAUUAACUAAUUCUUAAUUAAUAUGCAGGAUCUUUUACGGGUUGGUGAAACCAACGAGACAACCUACGGGUAUGCAGCAGUUGUGUUAAUCCUACUCGGUACUCUCCGUAUUCAUCACUAUGUUGCUUCAGAAGCAGCUAAGUUCUUUCACUUGAUAUUUAUAUUACAAAUUUAUUUGAUGAAUUCCUACCGUCUUCCCAGGCAGUUCCACCCGAAGGGAACACUUCUCUACGGCCACAAGGUUCUCAUUCAAACGCCACACAUCGGCUAAAUAGAGAACUACCGACAGAGGUUUCUCCUAUAGGAUCCCUAGCGUAAGAACUCAUUUCAUAAAUUCAUAAUAUAAAAUCCAAGUAAAACCAGAAACUACUUCAUUUCGACAACAUAAUUUACAUACGGAUUUCCCUUUCGGGAGACCCCAAAGGGAUUACAAAGAGAAAAAGAGGACUACCUUCUGCCGACCUCCACCACUGGAUGAUACAAUGCCUCAAAGGCUUAUUACAAACUGGAGAUGGCUACUACCAACUACUACUACUGAGGAGAGUGAGGCAAGUGGUGAUCUGGUGCUUGCGAUGCUCUGGAGACUGGUGUUGUGUAGACUGCUGUUGUGUGUGUCUCUCCGCGCUUAGUCCUCCUCCUUUUAUAGUGCGCGAGGGAUGCUGGAUGCUCCCCUCUUUUAUUCUUCUGCGUCAUAGCUGGAGGCCGGGGUAUCUCAUAGCUUGACACGCCUUAUGCACCGCUGAAGUGCCUUAGUGUUUGCGACAUCAAGCGUUGCAUGACUCCGAUGCUAGACUGAUAUUUUUGUCUAGACUGAGAACUUUGUCCAGACUGUGAAUUUUGUCCAGACUGGAAUAUUUGUCUUGACCGCGAAUUUUGUCUUGACUGGAACUUUUGUCUUGACUGGAAUCUUUGUCUUGACAGAUGAUUUUGUCCAGACUGAAGCUCUUGUCUUCAUUGCAACUCUUGUUCUUGUAUGCACUGUGCUAUGAGUUAUCUAUGCACGGUUGAAUAUUGUCUUCAUGCAACUUGGAUGAACGGACCUGUCUUGAAUGAAGACCUUUCCUGAUACGGAUGUUGCAUGGCUGCUUCUUGAAUAAUUAUUCUUGCUACCAUUAUUAUUGUUAUUUUUUUUGUGUACGGGUCUACCCCGCCCAUAUUAUUGAUAACACCUUAUCAAUAUUUCGAGUUCUUUCAAUAUUCGGGUAUAGGUCCUCCGUGCCCGAAUAAUUGAUAUUCAUAUCAAUUCAUAUUUGAGUAUAUUUGAUUAUUGUUUUCCCUCUUUAUUCAAUUGGUUGCCCGUGCCCGGCAAUGUCUGUAUGGUCUGUCUCAGAAAUGGUGAAAUCGUAUUUUUGAUCAUAUUCUUUCUUUAGCUCUUCAAAAUUUUGGUUCAUUUUUGAUCGUAAUUCUUUUAAAAUUUCUUCCUUCAAUUCUGCCUUCAUUGUCUUUGUAACUUCUUUAAGUUUUUCAACUAUCUUCAAUUUUAUGUAUUCUCUGUCCAAAGGAUCAACUCCUUUGAUAAGGCAUUCUGUGUAUGAUUUAUAUUUUGAAGAAUUUACUUCAUUUAUAUUCUUUCUAUCAGUUCUUGAUACUCGAAAUAACAUCCUUUCAUUAUCUUGGCCCAAUUUGCGGCAUACUUGAUUUCAUCACGCCUUAUUUGUAUUUCUUCCAAUGUCAUAGCUAUUCCAUCGAACAUAAUAUAUGUUGGUCUUGGUGUAAAAUAUACUGCAGGGUUAUUGAUAUUAGAUUGCAUACAACCUUUUUCUUGUCUUCUGAUUAUGUCCUUAAUAUCCAAUAAGCAUAUUUCCAUAUCAUAAACUUGGAUAUGAUCUUUUGGUCUGAAAUUGAAUGUAUUUGGCGGUAAUAUCCUUAUUCUGGUGUUAUUUCCAGAUAUGUAGCUUUCACUUCCUCCUACAAGUGUGUUUCUCUUCAUUCCUGUAGAAAUGAUGAUCAGAGAAAUAAGUUUGGUAAAUUAUUUUAUUUGCCUUUAAUAUGAUCAUGUAUGACUUUAUAUCUAUUCUCUGUUAUGCUGUCUUCCAUGUUCUGGUAGAACCUAUCUUGCUAUUUAUUUGGUUCUAUUAUUUGAUCUCUUUCUGUUAUUAUUUGCUCUUCUAUUUCCGUGCCUUCAACUAUAAUGUUCUCUUCUUCUGUAUUUGCUUUAUUUUCUAAGUUAGAUUUUAGAUCUUCUAGUUCUGCCUCUAACUUAUUUAGUCUAUUUUCUAGAUUUCUAACUCUGCUAGAUAAUAUUCUAUCUUCAGGUUCAUAUUCUAUUUCUUGUCUCCACCUUUGAUUCGUAGAUUUUAGGCCUGAGUUACAAGCUUGUCUUAAACAUAAACUACAUGUAUACCUAUUCUCUUGGCUGGGGUAAUAUAUGCAAAAGGCACAUUUUAUAUUAUAGUCUCCUUUUCCCCUAAUCCAAUCAUGUUCACAAUCUACCUGGUUCAUCAUCUCUAUUUUUAAUCCUGAUAGAUCAUCUAUUAAAUCGAUUUCAUCUUCACUAGAUUCUUCUUCUAGCUCUUCAUUUUCUAUUUCAUCUGUUUCUAUGAUGGAGUAUAUUGACUCAUCAUCUUUUACUUCAUCAUCACAUACUAGUAUAUUCUCAUUAACACUAUCUAUAAUUAAUACUCUCUCUUGCUCUUCAUAUUUACUAGAGUACCUUUUCUGAUCUUUAUUAGGGCAAGUUUUACUUAAAUGAUCAGGUGAAUUGCAUAUGAAACAUCUACAUGUUUUAUCAUAUGAUUUUCUAGGAUUAUAUCUUCUAACAUUUCUUUUAUGCAGGAAUGGGGCUCUAUUAUCCGAUCUUCGUAAGAAAUAUCUUUUCUUUGUUCUAAAAUUUCUAUUAUCUCUUUGUGGUUUAUAAUAUUUCUUACUCCUGUGUCUUUCUUCGCCAUAUGUUAGUGGUAUUUGGACGAUUUUAUUGCAGAAACUAUAAUCGGAUUUCUUCAUAGACCUCUGGGCCUGUAUACUUGUACAUACCUUUCUAAGAUGUUUAAACACAAACGUUAUAAAUUGAGAUAUAUUUAUGACUAUGCCUGCAGUAUCUUUCUUAUAUUCUUCAAAUAUUAUUGAUCCUAAUGGAUAUGGUAACCUAUUAAAAUACCUUUCAACCACACCUUUAUUGUAGCCUUGCUUAGCUGUGGUAGCAUUGUAUAAAUAAUGCUGAGAAAAUUCCUUUAUACCUUUCCAACUUGUUAAAGUUAAUUUUUCUAUUUCUCUCAACCUUUCAUUUUGCAAUGUGGUAUGACCCAAUUCUGGAUCUUCUGCUAUGACCAUAUUUGAUAUGACAUUGGCAAAGUUAUUAGGAUUACUCCCAGCUCUUUUUAGUUCUUCGUAUUGGUCUGGAUAUGUCUCUACCCAUUGUUCCCAGAAUAUUUUUACUGAUUCUCCCAAAAAUGUUUCAAGAUAUGUUAUCAUAUCUUCCACCUUAUUCCCUAUAUUAUAUUGAUUUUGUAUAUAUUUUUGGACUAUUAAUCCUUUCCACACACUAAUUAUAUUCGGCCAAUCUAUAGGGUCAUGGGCUGUUAAAUUCAGAAUUGCACCAUCAUUCCUAGAGUUUUGGAACUGCACUGCCUUUUCAAAACCUCUUCUUUUAGAACCCAUAAAUGUAUAUUGUCCAGGGAUAUAUGUAGGUUGAUAAUCAUCUUUUUCAGGAGGCCAUUUUCCAGAAGAUCGAGUAGGUCUCUCUCUUUCUCCUUCUCUCUUUACAGAUGACUCGCCAUAACCUCUUCUUCUUUUAUGACCACCUAAAUCUACUUCCAUGGCUUCCAUCACAUUUUCUAAAUUAUGCAGAAUUUUGUCAUCUAACGAGUUUAUAAAAUCAGCAUUUUGCUCGAAAUCAAUAUAAUUUUGAUCUUCAUAUUGAUUCCAUGGUUCUUCUUCUUCUUCUUUAUAUCUUUCUAAUAAUAUCUUAUUAUUGAUAUCCCAUUGAUCUUCUUCACUUAUGGCUUUCUCUUUAUGACUUUCAGCUUUAUUCUUGAUAUCGGUAUUUUCUCCGCGUUUAAUGUUAUUCUUUGGCACCACUGGGUUACUAAUGACUGGUUUUUUAUCCUUUAUUAAUAUUUUUAUUCUCGAAAUUUCUCUAAUAAAGAAUAAUUCUCUUUCUCUUAUUUUAGGCCAAUCUGAUGUCAUUGAAUUAUUAUAUUCCCAGUUUAUGCGUUUUAAUUUUUCUUCCCAAUGUUUUAAUUCAUCUUCUAAGUCUACCUUUUCCAUGCAUUCUUUUACUCCUUUAUUCCUACUAUCACUACUCUCUGCUUCUGACAAAAGAGGUUCUAUUUUGUCUACGGCUGCGGAUUUAUAGUUCAAUAAUCUAAUGCUACUACUUCCUUCGCUAUUUUGGUAGCUUAUAUAAUUUUCUGGCUGCCUCAACUCUUUCUUUUCUAUUAAUUCGCUUAUAUUCCAUUCCUCUCCUGCUCUCUCUUCAGAACCAAUUUUAAGAGGGCUCAUAAAUUUUAUGCCUUUAGAUUGCAUGCUCUCUAUUACGUCAUUUACGUUUACUUUGUAUCUAGAGCUUCUUUUAUUCGUGAGUCUUCCUAUGAAUUCAAUGCUUACUAACAAAUUUGUUCCUUUAAAAUCUUCAUAUCCUCUGGUUUGAAACCCAAAGCUCAUUUUCUCAAUAAAUUCUAUUACAGGCAUCAUUAAGUCUGGAGCUAUAUAUGUUAUUAAUCUAUUUUGAUUCAUAUCUCCUUCCAUAAAGCCUAAUGAUGCUUUGUCUACCGACUCCCAUCUUUUGUCAAGUAAUGUAAUUAAUACCUUCGUUCCUAAUUUCUAUCUUGUCAUUUCUUUUACUCCUAUAAUAUACAUCCCUUGGUGAAUAUAUUUGUAACCUGAAUAUGUAAGUUCAUUCUCAAUAUUUUUGCUAACAAUUCUUAAAUCCACCGGAUGCACUAACACACUUAAUUCUACUUCUCUAGAUAUUCUGUAUAAUCCGCUUUUACUUUCAAAUAUGCCCAUGUGAUAUACAUGUUGCGGUCUUAUUUUUCUUAACGUAUCUCUCUGAUAUCUUUCUAAUUCGCGUUCCAUGUCUAUAACCUCUUCUAAAUUAUCUAUGUCGUCACUUCUGCAUGAUAUCCUAUUCAUCAUGGUUAGCGGCCUAGAAUCUUGCCUUAUUAACUGGAUUGUCUUGUCUCUUCUAGAGACGCUUUUAGAUAGUUCCAUUUUUCAGAAUUAAUAUUUUUAGAGGAUGAGACUAUUCCGGAUGAAGAUAAUAUCAACUCGUUGUUACCUCGUUUAGUAUUUAGCUUUUCCAAAAUCUAGACUAGUAGUUGUAGAAUUGUGUUAUUCUGCCUUAUAAUUAUUCUGGAAUCUUCGUUUGGCAAAUCGUGAUAUGAAAAUCCGACAGAAGGUGUUAAUUAAUUUUCUACUUCUUUUAAUGCUUGGCAAUAUUCACUCAUUCAAGUUAUGAUACGACUAGAGUCUUUACUUCUUGUAUUAACCUUUUAACUUCAAGUAUAUCGCGUCUUGUUUUAGCACCUGAUAAUGAAUCUUUAUUCUUAUUUAUGACACCACUUUGAUUCUUACCAAUGGAUAAAACUUCUUCUUUAAUAUAGUCAUUGUUCUUACAAAUUAUAAGGUUUCUACCUUUCGAUUCUUCUAAUUUCUAUAGAACUAGAUCGAUUUUAUUAUUCAAGCCUGCGUAUUUUUCUACUAACUUUUUGUGUUCUUUUAACAGACUUUCAAAUUUUUGGUCUAAAUUAUCUUGCCUUUUCCCCCAAGUUAUAUAAAAGUUAUGAAUGAGGUCGACAAUUAAAUUUAGUUGGCUAUGACUAGUAUGCCACGUAUGUUCUUCGGAAGGAUUUAUUCUGCACGUAUGCUAAUAUUUUCUUUGGUAGAGAUCAGUCUACCUGUACUAAUUUCUAAAUUCAAAUACUUUAGUCAUUCAAUGAUUAAAACUCUGGCUGAGAUACCAACACACAAAUAUAUUAAAUUAAAAUAUAAAGUACUUAUUAACUUCUUACGUAAUUUAAAUUUUGUGAAAUUAUUUAAUUAACCAAUUCUUAAUUAAUAUGCAGGAUCUUUUACGGGUUGGCGAAACCAACGAGACAGCCUACGGGUAUGCAGCAGUUGUGUUAAUCCUACUCGGUACUCUCUGUAUUCAUCACUAUGUUGCUUCAGAAGCAGCUAAGUUCUUUCACUUGAUGUUUAUAUUACAAAUUUAUUUGAUGAAUUCCUACCGUCUUCCCAGGCAGUUCCACCCGAAGGGAACACUUCUCUACGGCCACAUGGUUCUCAUUCAAACGCCACACAUCGGCUAAAUAGAGAACUACCCGCAGAUGUUUCUCCUAUAGGAUCCCUAGCGUAAGAACUCAUUUCAUAAAUUCAUAAUAUAAAAACCAAGUAAAACCAGAAACUACUUCAUUUCGACAAUAUAAUUUACAUAUGGAUUUCCCUUUCGGGAGACCCCGAAGGGAUUACAAAGAGAAAAAGAGGACUACCUUCUGCCUACCUCCACCACUGGAUGAUACAAUGCCUCAAAGGCUUAUUCCAAACUGGAGAUGGCUACUACCAACUACUACUACUGAGGAGAGUGAGGGAAGUGGUGAUCUGGUGCUUGCGAUGCUCUGGAGACGGGUGUUGUGUAGACUGCUGUUGUGUGUGUCUCUCCGCGCUCAAUCCUCCUCCUUUUAUAGUGCGCGAGGGAUGCUGGAUGCUCCCCUUUUUUAUUCUUCUGCGUCAUAGCUGGAGGCCGGGGUAUCUCGUAGCUUGACACGCCUUAUGCACCGCUGAAGUGCCUCAGUGUUUGCGACAUUCAGCCUUGCGUGACUCCGAUGCUAGACUGAUAUUUUUGUCUAGACUGAGAACUUUGUCUAGACUGAGAAUUUUGUCCAGACUGGAAUAUUUGUCUUGACCGUGAAUUUUGUCUUGACUGGAACUUUUGUCUUGACUGGAAUCUUUGUCUUGACAGAUGAUUUUGUCCAGACUGAAGCUCUUGUCUUCAUUGCAACUCUUGUUCUUGUAUGCACCAUGCUAUGAGUUAUCCAUGCACGGUUGAAUAUUUUCUUCAUGCAACUUGGAUUAUAGGUCUUGUCUUGAAUGAAGACCUUUCCUGAUACGGAUGUUGCAUGGCUGCUUCUUGCAUAAUUAUUCUUGCUACCAUUAUUAUUAUUAUUAUUAUUAUUAUUAUUAUUAUUAUUAUUAUUAUUAUUAUUAUUAUUAUUAUUAUUAUUAUUAUUAUUUGGGUAUGGGUCUACCCCGCCCAUAUUAUUAAUAACACCUUAUCAAUAUUUCGAGUUCUUCCAAUAUUAGACACACAAAUAUAUUAUCAAUUAAAAUAUAAAGUACUUAUUAACUUCUUACGUAAUUUAAAUUUUGUGAAAUUAUUUAAUUAACUAAUUCUUAAUUAAUAUGCAGGAUCUUUUACGGGUUGGCGAAACCAAUGGGACAGCCUACGGGUAUGCAGCAGUUGUGUUAAUCCUACUCGGUACUCUCCGUAUUCAUCACUAUGUUGCUUCAGAAGCAGCUAAGUUCUUUCACUUGAUGUUUAUAUUACAAAUUUAUUUGAUGAAUUCCUACCGUCUUCCCAGGCAGUUCCACCCGAAGGGAACACUUCUCUACGGCCACAAGGUUCUCAUUCAAACGCCUCACAUCGGCUAAACAGAGAACUACCGGCAGAGGUUUCUCCUAUAGGAUCCCUAGCGUAAGAACUCAUUUCAUAAAUUCAUAAUAUAAAAACCGAGUGAAACCCGAAACUACUUCACUUCGACAACAUAAUUUACAUACGGAUUUCCCUUUCGGGAGACCCCGAAGGGAUUACAAAGAGAAAGGAAGACUACCUUCUGCCUACCUCCACCACUGGAUGAUACAAAUGCCUCAAAGGCUUAUUACAACGGGAGAUGGCUACU
rnacentral:lncRNA from 1 species